AUAAAUGCUUUGAAGAGAAGAGUAUAAUCGGCAAUUCUUAAAAGAGAGCUCCGUUUGGUGAAAAGGAGUAAGAAUGAAUGGUUGGAAGCAAGCCUCUGAGCAGCGCAUUGGAUCCAUGUAGGUGAUAGUGUGACAGGAGCUCCUGUUAUAGAGCUAAGGUAUAUGUAUGAAUUUCAUACCGUACCUAACGAGGGUAAUAGGGUAACCUAUUACCAAACUGGGGUGGCACCGCGGAACGCUAUAACUCGUCCUCAAG
rnacentral:ncRNA from 1 species